rnacentral:lncRNA from 1 species
CGAGUACCUGUUGAGGAUGUCCAGGUGGGCGUGGAUGCCGUUGACCAAGCAGGUGUGUCUCUGCAAAUUAAUGUUGGUGUUUUUUUGCUCUUUUCAAAUUUUAUGCUUGGUGUAUAAGCAUACAUGUCACUCACUAUAUGUAACUUUCAGUGCAAGAUUAAAAUAGGGGAUAAAUCAUUAUGGAAGGUAUAUGAUUGAAUAGCAAAUUGGAUGGAUUUACUGGCAUAUCAUUUAUUUGUGACUGCAUGAUCUGAAUUGCGCAUCUCUGAAAAUAUGUUAGGCUCUUGCCCUUGGAAGAUUAGACUGAUGUGGUGUUGAUUUGUAAAUAAAUGGCAUGCUUACCAUUUUGAUUUAGGUCUGUAGGUAGAAGCGAAAAAAGAAUCAUAAUCUCAGGUUUAGACAUGCACAAGGCCACUGAUCACAAAUAAAUAGGAACAAAUGCAGUAUUGUGAUUUUGAGGAAGAGAAAUAGAAGUACAGUUUAUUGUUCAUAUUUUAAGCUACACUUGAACCUUGUCCUAAUAACUAGGGCUAUUGUGAUGUUGCCCUAUUAUAAGUGCCUUGAUUAAAUGUUUGGUUAAGUCGAGUGUAUAGCGAAGAGAAGGCUACCUGAACCAUGCUAAAUAUGGAAAGAAGCGGGAGCUAUACACAUGAUCGGUUGUUCAUCAUUUCAAGUUUGACUUAUUAUUAGUUGAUUACCUGCUUCUAUGCAGUGAACAAAUGAGUAAGCAGUUUUAGUUGAUAAAGGUGUAGGCAGCACAUCUUUUUUGCUCCAUUUUUUGGUUUAUAAGUCAAGGUUGUUUAGCCUCUGAAUAUCUUAAUUGUAAAACAGUUUUGAUGCAAUUUUUGAACCAUUCAGUCUAUUUUGUUCAUGCAGUUCAUGGUACCACAUCUGCAUGCUACAUUUUUGUGUACAUUUGGCUACCACAUUAUAUGAUGUUUCACUUUGCUCCAUCAAAGUUCCAGUAAAAAAUUGAAUUGAACAUAUUUUUGUAGACAUACAAAAAUGGUCCUGCAUUUUUUACAUCGCCCUGACAUCCAAUUCAAACUAUAUUUUCUGCCUAAACUGUUGCAUACCUAUGAGAUCAUGGGAUAACUCAGACACGAGCCGGUGUCCAGUGCGCAGUUGGGUGCAUUAUUUGGUGACAUCCAGUGCUAACUGUCUAAUGCUGAGUAAUCAAAUAUAUUCCAUGAAGUGCUUCUUGGUAUUUUACAACCGUUUACUCUGAAUUCUGGUCAUCAUGCCUUCAGACAAUUUUCAGGUUGCUUUUCCACGAUUUCAAAUAACUUAUACUACGCUCGGGGCGUAUCUAGAUCUAGCACAGAAGAGAUGUGUUUCUUGAACCCGAAAAAUGAUAAUACUAACAGGAUUGUUUUAAUAAUGCCAGUACUGCUCCAUAAAAUAGACAUAGAACUACAAAGCUCGUGUUCACUCCUGCAAAUAAAAUUCAUAACAGUUAAUUCUGCUGUAGUUGUAGAUGUACAUCCUUUAUUCUCGCAAUAGUUAAUUCUAAGGCCAUUCAUAUCAUUGCAGAUUUUGCCUAUUCUCUGAGAUGGAUGAUGAUGAGUGGUGCAACCGAAAAUUCAGAGCUGGCUUUACACACUUCAGUGGGUAAGUGAAGUUCCAUUUUUUCUUCUGUACCCUAUUACUGCUCUGUUGUACAGAGAGUAGUGAGUUUAUAUUAGCUAAAUGUUAGAUUGGAAUGCAGGAGUAGCAUGACAACACCAAGGUAGAGACCUGAAGAGAAGCAAGGGGAUGGACCAAGGAAACUAGAACUGUGUUGUCGUGAUGUGGGUCAUGUCGUCUUCGUCCAUCUCCAUCGAGGCAUAUAUACAUAGGUUAGGUAUAGGAAAGGAGACAGUCUCCAUGGAACUCUUACUGAUGUGUAAUGUCCUCAUAGGACUGGACCGUUUACAGAGGGAGUACUUGAAAAUAGAUUCUUUAUAUAUUGUUUGGUUCCAUCAGCCGCAUAACCUAAAUUAGCAAUUUGGUAUCUAAACAGUGUAGUGUAACCAUUGUGCUUGCUGCAGUUUUACUUUAGUGUUGAAAUGUUUUUGUUGGCUUGUUCUGUACUACGAAAUAUUUUUGUUUCCCCAGCCAUUCUUUUCUAAAUCAUAUCAGCAUAUUACCUGAUAUGGCCUUUGAAGUUUCUGUUUUAUAACGAGCUUUGCACCGGUCAACUUGAGUAUGGUAUGGUUUAUUCUUUUCUACUGCGGCUACUCGAGAGCAAUUUAGAGCUCCACAACCUUCUGAAGACUUAGUAGAGAUGAAACAAUCAAUCAGUUGAGAGGCAUCACAUGACCUUUUUCUCUUGACAUUUAUGGGUAUUGAACCCAUAGAUCAGCUUAUCAAUGGAACUCUUAUCGGGUUGAGAAGGUGUCGCAAAAACUAAAGAGCAGUUCUAACAUGGUCCCUAAUUAACUCUUACCUUCCUACCUAUUAUGUGAAGGGGGUAAGAGGGACCUUGUUAAAAUUAGCGAAAACUCAAAAACAGGGCGAUUAGCUAAGGAAAGAAGCUAAGAAGCAUCAGGAAGGACUUUUAGGAUGGUACCGCGGUCAAAUGCAUCCUAGGAUAGGUACUUUAAGAAUUAUGGUGUGUUCUUCUCCUUGUUUGUUUACCUUAGCCACAUAGGUUAGCCUCAAUUUAUUAUUAUCCUUCUGUUUAGAGUAGAUGCUUCCAUCAGAACUAAUAUCCACAUGGUCAGUUCGAGAUCCCCUCAUGCUCAACCAUUGCAGUGACCUACGACACCAUUGAUUCUCAAUCAAAACAAUGUCAGCUUAUAAAUAACCAUUGGAAUAACUACAGAAAUUUACUUCCAUAUGGGUGCAUCCCUAAAUAGAAUGGAUCGCAUCACAAGAUCUAUAAUGCCUAGAAAAUGAGACAAAAGGGGUGGGAAUCGCCACAAAAACGAGUGGAGAUGAAAGAUCGAGAGAAAUGGAAGGUAAACCCAUGCAUGCAGACAAAUCCGAAAUCAAAAGAGGUAAGAAAUCGCACCGGUCGAUGGCUGAGGAAACGAAAGGCAGGGGAUAGACAGUCUCCGCUGGAUCCGCCCCUGCCGUUUCAUAUCCAGCUCCUCACGGGCCACAGGCAUCGCUCUACGUGGGCUGGGCUAAAUAACAUAUGGGCUAUCCUAAUACCUCAUGAUCCCUAUAUCUCCGUAUAUGCACAACAAAGACAUGUUUUUUUCUUAGGUUAUCUUUUUCCCCCUUUUUUGCAGGAAAAAGAUGCAUGGCCAGGUUUCCCAUCAUGAUAACCAUGUUUUCAAACUUGCUAAAAAAAUACAACCAUGCCAACUUUACUCUCUCAUCAUAGUGGCCAUAUUUUCAAACUGAACAUAUUCAUAUUAUGCAAAGUUUCCCUUUUCCCAGACUAUUAUUUAACAACAUAAUAAACAUGUUUAAAAAAUAGCAUGAUUUAGUUGAAGGUUCUUGCACCAUGAAACUAUUUUCAUCGACAUCAUGUCUUCAGCAGGUCUCUGCGCCAUUUGGCGCAACGGGUCAACUAGUUUUCUAAAAGAGAGAUGGCUAAGAAACAUGUAGAAAAUAUGAUCAGAAUGCUAUAAAAUUUCAUGAUGCAAGGAUACGCACACGCUUCUUAGAAUGGAGUUGACAUUCUUUUGCUGGACUGGAGCGGACUAGUUCUUUGGCCACUGGAAUCUGCUUAUUAUUAGAUGGAGUUGGGUUUCUCUGUGCUAGAGCAGUAUCUAUGAAAAAUGGAGUUGGUUUAUUAUCUCUUGGUGUUUGGAUCUUUUGCAAAGACCUGGUUUGUAACCCUUCAGAUUCUAACAUAGCCGUCUCCCCCUUGCAUGCCUUAUAUAGAAGAAUGGUGCUUCAAUUAUAAAACAUGCUACAGCAGAGCUGGAAUAGGUACUGAAGAAUAGAAAGGCAUGACAUAUUGCAUCUAUUCCCUCCAUCCGGAAAUAAAUGGAUGGGUCUAGGCGUAUUGCAGUUCUAGAUAAAUCCAGUUUUAUCCAUUUCUGCAACAGGUAAUCCGGACGGAGGGAGUAUGAUGUAAGAGCUAGGGAUACGGCAGGACAACACAGUAAAAAAGACACUGAAAACCCAUUGCAGAACCAAAGUGAUCAAAACCAUUGACAUGAGAUAGUACACUCAUGCAGCUCAGGAUGCAAAACUACUAGGCAGUUUUCCUUACAAAAAUCAACAUUGUGGCCUUUAAUCAUACAUUUUGCUACAACUAAAUUUAGAUCAGAUAAAGGUUGGAUUCACGCCUAUUAAUAAAAUACAUGCUGAUGUAAAAAUAUAGUGAUAUACAACAGGUACUUACAUCUGCAUUGGAGCACAGAGAAUUCCCGCAAGAAUCUUUCCUCACAGAAGAUACCAGUGUAGGAAUUCUUCUAUCUUUUAAGCUUAUUUUCUAAAAGAGAGAUGGGUAAGAAACAUGUAGAAAAUAUGAUCAACAUGCUAUAAAAUUUCAUGAUGCAAGGUUAUGCACACGCUUCUUAGAAUGGAGUUGACAUAUUUUUGCUGGCCUGGAGCAGACUAGUUCUUUGGGCACUGGAAUCUGCUUCUUAUCAGUAGGAGUUGGGUUUCUCUAUGCUGGAGCAAUAUCUAUAAAAACUGGAGUUGGUUUAUUAUCUCCUGGCGUUUGGAUCUUUUGCAAAGACCUAUUUUGUAACCCUUCAGAUUCUAACAUAGUCGUCUUCCCCUUGCAUGGCUUGUAUAGAAGAAUGGUGUUUCAAUUAUAAAACAUGCUACAACAGAGAGAUGGAAUAGGUACUGAAGAAUAGAAAGGCAUGACAUAUUGACAUGUAUUCCCUCCAUCUGGAAAAAAAUGGCUGGGUCUAGGCGUAUUUUAGUUCUAGAUACAUCCUUUUUUAUCCAUUUCGGCAACAUGUAAUCCUUACGGAGGGAGUAUGGUGUAAGAGCUAGGGAUACGACUGGGCAACAUAGUAAAAAAACACUAGUUGAAUAUAAAACUAUAUGCUAGUAGAAUACAUACAGAAAAAACUAAGGCAACAUACACGUGUAUGAUUGGGAAACUAAGAUGACAUUGCAACAGAGCACUAGAACAUCACUUCAAUGUAAAAAACAUGGUAUGGUAGACAGAUGAAGUACAUACUAAUGAAUAACAAUGCAUAAGAUAUUCAGAAGCAUGAUGUCCAAAUUAAGCAGAUGGCAUUGCGAUAGAGUAGAAUGACAGUACUUGAAUUUGAAAACAUGUUAUCAUGAAUGGAAUAGGUACUGAAAAAUAGGAAGGCAUGAUAUAUUUACAAGCAUGAUCAGCAUGCUAAGCACAUGGCAUUGGAACAGAGUAGAUACACUCAAGGACAUUAUAUGCAUGUUGUACCCAUAUCAAGGGCCAAGUUAGAGGAAGGACCUUGUGGGGUGAAGAGGAUUCAACAUCUUUCUGCAAGUCUUCUGAAGAACUGCCUUUACAUGUUCCAUCAUAUUGGGUAUCAUUGACAUCAAGUUUAUUGCCCUUUACAUUGCUCCGUGAGAUUCUUAUGGAUAUAUCAGUGUGUAAAAUUAUAUCUGACAUGCAUGGAAGACAACUAGUAGUUAUAUUUAUGUAAUGAGUGCGUGUAGGAGAUGACAUAAAUAGUAGGACUGUGGUUAACUAGCAGCAACAGGUCUCAAAAACUAAAGGGAGAACACAGAUGAAGUCUACGGAAUAUGUAUCGUUUGUACUCGAGAUUAACUAGAUGGCACACAAAAGUAUUAAAAACAACAUAGGUAAUACUAGAAGUGGUAUAAUACUAUAAUCACCAGCCUGUGGGAUAGCAUUGGCUGAUGGAUGAUAACUAUGGAACAACGUUACCUAAAGAACAAGUAUCUUAGCUGAACUAUGGAACAUCGUUAACUCCUGAACAAGACCCGUAAGAGAUCAGCAUGAAUAUACAAUGAAAUGUGAUAAUCUAUUUUCCAUGCUUAGAUGAAUAACAAAGCCAUAAAUGUUGCACACAAGUAAGAUGAGGGUACAACCUGCAAUUGUUGUGGCUGUCCAUGUCAGGCACGUGCAUUCGAUGCAGGGAACUGUUGAGUGGAGAGUACAGCUCCCUCAUGGUGUAUGCUUCCCUUGUUUGAGCAGCUGCCGUGAGUCGGAAGAUGGUGUGGCUGAAGAUGUAGAUAACGCAUAAUGUUAAGAAUGACACAUCUCUUUGAUCUGAAGAAAUACACUAAGAGAUCAACAGCAAGGUACGAGAGUGGUCACACGUCUGUUGACUGAAGACUAAAUUGGGGUCACACGAUUUUAUUUUAUUUUGGUACUGUCCAAUCUACGCCGGAUGGGUUUAUGGCCGUCUUCUGCCUCCUGGCUGACACUAUUAGGAAUCUUCCCAGAAGAGCCAGCGACCAACGGCAGAGCAGCCUGCCUCCGCCGUCCGUGGCCCCGGCCAAAACCCCACUCUCCGCCCCACCGCACUACCGUGGUUGCGCCGCCCCCGGGCCAAACCACAAAGACUCCCCGUCAUCCAGAUCCAGCGGCGACAGUACCUUCAACCCACGCAACUCUAAGAUAGCCAUCUAAGCGCUGCUUCUGCGGCAAACUUGCGGCCCCGCACCCUUAUGUUUGACACCAGCCAACCGACAGCCUAGGAGCUCCGCCGCCUCUAGGGGUGCUGCUUCCCAUUAGGACUCAAUUGGCCCAGAAUAAAAAUUUAGACAAUUGACGCCUAAAUAAAGUGAUUGGAGACGAGGGUGCGACCUAUCUGGCGGCAUGGUGAAGUAAGUAGGUACAGCUGCCGAGUCGGUGAGGCCAUGCGGUUGCGGUGGCGACCGGCGGCAGGGAAACAACGAUGUCGUGACGGUCGAUGGCUACAGGGAAGCAGCGCCGGUACUAUGGACGGAUCCAAAGUUGGAGCCGCUCCGUCGCUGUGAACAACGGCGGGGGUGAAUUAGCUUCGGUAUGGUUCACGCGGCCGUCGUCGAGCCAGCUCCAGCAACACGAAGUAAGAGGCACACGGCCCAGUGCACGACGGCAAAUGGACAUCAUCUCUGGCAUUAGGGAGGAGGGCGGCUAUGAAAUUGGUGCGGUGGGGGCGCCACGGAGGAGGGGCUGAGGUUUCAUGGCUCGGGAGAAGGCAGCUUCCGGGGAGAAGGUGAUUUGGCGCCCACGAGGUAUGAAUGAGGGUGGGGAAUUGGGAGGGGAGUGGAACCAUGUUUUACGGACACAUUUGUCUGAGAUGUGAGGGGGGUUACAGUUCUACCCCUGCCUUUAGGCUUCUUGGCUUGGGUCUGUGUACUAAGGGUCGGGGAUAGUAGAGUAACUUUGCUUCUCCCCAAAUAGUGGGUGGGAGCAAUUUUGGGUGAGGAGGGCAUGUUUUGAAAUAUAGUGGGCGCGAGCGAUUCCGGGUGUGGAGAGCGUGUUUUGAAAUAGUGGGCGCGAGCUACUUCAGGCGAGGAGAGUGUGUUUUGCCGACCAUGGUUUAUGAAUUAUUCAGCACAUGUCAUUUCGGCCGAGGAGAAGGCGUGCUUGGAUGAAGUUACGAACCUACCCUCGAUGUACAAUGUACCAAUUGAUGCGUGUCCCACAUAGGACAGUAAUUUCACAUCUCCCAUUUAUUUGCUCGGGCGAAUUCCACCGAGCACAGGAUGUUUAACGGUUCGUUCAAAUUUGGGAGAACGAGCAUCCACGUCUACCUUACCAAGUCGAUUCGAAUCAAAUUUUGAAAUAUUAGCUUGCCACUUCUUUUUUAGAUGGAGAGAUGAUGCUCGGGAGUAAUGUGUUUUUACAUGCUCGUUGCUAGCGCUUUACUAUAUGACAAAUAGUUGACCCACUCAAAAACGGGAGUCAAACCCAAAAUGAAAUAUCUCGAUUCAAUGAAAUAGCUCGUUCACCAGGUCAAAAUAGUGAACUAAAUCCAAAAUUGAACACCUAAAUCGAGUAGCAUGUUGUACAGUAUUAUAGUACUCCAUGAACAUGUUGAAAGUCAAAUUAAUGAACUUGUUUGAUAUACGCAUAUAUCCGUUCAUGUGUGGAUUGCAGACAACAUGUUCUCUAAUUUAAAUAUUUGAAUGCAAGUUUAUAUCGAAACAUGGUUUAUAUCAGUCUUUGAUACAUAAAACGCGACCGCCCCCUCUCCCGGACUCCUGCUCUCUCUCUCUCUCUCUCUCUCUCUCUCUCUCUCUCUCUCUUUGUGUGUGUGUGUGUGGGGGGGGUCUUUCUAGUUCGCAUGCAUAUAUACUGCAUCUAUAGGUCUCUCUCGCACACUAUGUAUGAUUCUCUAGUCCAAGCUAGAUAUCUUGGUUGCACUCAUCAUACGCACACAAAUUCCUUGGCUCGUUGCCCGUAACUCUCUCACGCACCACUAUGUUCUCUCGGAGCUCACCCGCCUCUCUCUCAAACUCUCCAUCUACCUGGGUCACACAUACACAUGCAUAUCUCACUCGCACUCGAUAGGCCCAUCUAAAAAUCUAUCUCUCUCCCUCGUUAUCUCUCCAUCUCACAUGCACACACACACAAUCUCAUGCCUAGCUAGCCAAGUAUGAUGGUCUCUCACUCAAUUGUAGGCACACGCAGUCCCCCUAUAUGUAUAUGACUAGCUAAUCUUAGUCUCCAUCACAAAGAUGUGCAUGGUCUAUCUCGAUUUCCCUCGGGGCAUCUUUCUAUUGCGCAUGCACCUCCCUCGAUCUCCCACCCAUAUAGUCCCCUCACGAUCUCGAGGGAAUCUCUCUAUCACAAACACACCCUCUCGCCCUCCCCAUGCGUCCAUGUUCUCCAUGUGUCCCUCUCGACCUUUGUUCCUUGUUGGCCAGACCUCUAUUGGACCUGUGCUAUAGGGGUGUCUCUCUUUGUUGCAAACAAUCACACACUAGCUAUCUUCGUGUAUCUCCUUGCAUCGCUUUUCUAUCUCGGAGAUGCAUGCAUGAGAUGUUCGCCUAAGAAACAAAAAAACACACACCCUCUCUAAUUUAUCAUUUGUUGUCACUUUCUCUUUCACACACAUACUCUUUUUGCACACUUACUCAUUCUCCUUCACACGCACUUGAUCUCUCUCGACUUAGGCACUCUCCUCGAUCCAUAUCAUAUUGAUUUAUUGAAAAGUCAAACAUCACAAAGUUUGACCAUGUACGUGGAGAAAAAUAAUUACAUCUAGAACGGCAAACAUAUACCAUUAGAUUUACCAUGAGAUGUAGUUUCGUAUGAUCUAUCUUUGGUAUUGUAGAUAUAAAUAACAUUUGCAUAAACCUGAUCAGAGUUUCCAAAGUUUGACUUCUAAAAAUUUACAUGCACUGCAUUAUCGAGCGAAUGGAAUAUCUCUUUCCCCCUCUCAGCUAUCUGACGCAUCACUCAGCCUUAUCGGGGCUCCUCAAUCUCUCUCAAACUUUAUAUCUUCCUGGUUCACACAUACACAUGUCUUGCUCGCGCUAUACACAUAGACCCAUCCAACACUCUCCGCCCUUGUUCCCUCUCUAUGUGACACGCACCCCCCAAAUAAGUACCAUAAUCCCUCACUCCAUCAUAGGCGCAAGCACUACCCCUAAGUAUGCUUAUCUCUCACUAGCCAUGAGGAACACACGUAUUGUCUCCUUCCAUCCAUACGUCUAUCUCGAUAUCUCUCGGGGUAUCUUCUAUCACGCACACACCUUGCCACUCGAUCUCCCACCCAUGUAGUCCUAUCACGAUCUCCAGGGGAUCUCUCUAUGACAAACAUACACUCUCUCCUACCCAUGUCUGCAUUUUCUCCGUACGUCUCUCUCGACCUCUCUCCCUUGUUUGUCAGACCCCUCUUGGCCACGUGCUACGGGUCUUGCUCUUACGGUUGCAAACAACCACACACUAUCUCCUCACCUUGCUUCCGUUGUCGAAGAUGCAUGUGUGAUAUGUUUGCAUAAGACACACACGUUUUUAUCGAAUUUUAUUGAGUGUUGUCCAUGUCUCUUUCACACAUGCACACACACUUUUUUCACUCACUCUGUCUAUUUCACUCUCUCUCUCUCUAGUUAGGGACUCUCUCACGUCCAUAAGCAUAUGGAUGUUUUGAAAAGUCAAACCUCAGAAAAGUUUGACCAGGUAUAUGUGGAGAAAAACAUUUACAUCUGGAACAAUCAUUAGAUUCAUCACAACAUGUACUUACUUCAUACUAUCAUUUAUCUUUGUUAUUGUAGAUAUAAGUAAUUUCUUCAUAAACUUGGUCAAAGUUUCAAAAGUUUGACUUUUAAAAAAUGUUGGAACUACAUUAUCGAACGGAGGGAGUAGCUCUUUCUCUCUCUCUUCCAUCUCUCACGGGCCUCCCCUCUCACUCGAACACUCUAUACUGACGGAUUAUACGCUCACUGUGUCAGCGUAUAGCUCUGUAUAUUGUUUAGUUGACCGGUCAACCAGUCCACAUGCUGGCUUGUCAGCUCGUGUUCUAUAUCUUUGUGUGUUGGCCCAUGUGUAAGUGGGUGAAAAUAAGUAAACUAGAGGCCCAUCUGACACGCGGUGAUGUAAACAAAGUUGAAACCACUUGGGGUAGCACCCCACACGCUAGUAAAUUCAGGGCGCAUUGAGGACACACUUCUUCCACGUGAAGGACGCACUCGCGCACAAUUCACCACUGCGCGGCGGCAUGCACAGAAGGACGCACUCGCGCACACUCAACACACAACACACCCUAGCACACGUGUACACCGGCGUCGCUGCCGGUUGAGAUGGACAGCAAGGCAGCCAACAAGCGGAGGCGGCUUGAGCCAAAACCGCAUCCGGCGACCUGGACUUCAUCAGCAGCCUCCCUGCCGACAUGCUUCUCGUCAUCACGGCCUCCUCCCCACCAAAUCUGCCGUGCAGACCACCCUGCUCUCCCGGCGGUGGCGCCGCCUCUGGCGCCGCGUCCCCCUCAACCUCACCGUCGACAGCUGCCUCUGCGACGGGGAUUGCAAACGCAUGGCCGCCGUCUCCAAGAUCCUUUUGGCGCGCCCUGGGCCAGCCAGACGCCUUGACAUCUGCAUGUUCAGUACCAACUGCAAGGUCCAAACCAAGUUUGACGAGUGGUUCUUAUCCCCCGCCCUAGAUCAUCUUGAGGAGCUCAGCUUUGAAGCUCGACGAUGUCGCUCUUUGCUGUCGUCCGCGCUCCGCCUCGCGCCAACGCUACGUCGCACCAACUUCAGCUCCUGCUAUCUUCCCCAGAUUAAUGCCGUGCCCGCCCUUCUUCUCCUCAACUCAAGCAGCUCGACCUCUUCAACGUUGUCAUCUCAAAGAAGGCUAUGGAGCACCUGCUCCGCAGCUAUACUACGCUCGAGUACCUUUGUCUUGAGCAGAUCCACGGGUUCAUUAGCCUCCACAUCGCCUCGACAAAUCUCCGAUGGAUUUAUGUGUCUUGCUGGCCCCACAACAUGACAUCAAUUGGGAAGAGAUCACUCCAGCUGUUCCACGUUAUGGUCAUUGAGAAUGCGCCUUUCCUUGAGAGAUUUCUUGUAUCGGAUCUAGAAGGUCCAACAGAAAUCAGGGUCAUUGACGCGUCGAAAUUGACAGCGUUGGUGCACUCGUCUGCCAGAUUCUCUGAACUCUUUAUCGGAUCUGUAAUCGUUCAGGUACAACACUCAUCUUCUUCUCCGUCUUCUUGAAAUUCACAUUUCUAAAUUUCUUCUUGAUGUAUUUACGACCGUCUUCCAGAAAAUGAUUCCCACAAGCUUGACCCAGUCUAUGCGCACAGUGAAGAUCUUGGCAAUAAAAUCUAUCGGCCCCAAUCUGGAUCAAGUUGUUGGAUUCCUUACAUGCUUUCUGUGCACUGAGAAGCUACUCAUCGAGGUGAAACUUAUUUCCUAUUAGUAAACGGUAAUCACAACGUAGCUCAAUUUUUUCUUAAUUUUCCCAAAUUACGAUGACAAGUGUAGUGUUGAAAACUACAUCUAUGCACUGCACCGAAAGAAAUGUUUUUAGUAUUUUUUCUCACAUGAUCACCUGCAUUGUUUUUGUUGUUGUACUACUAUAGUAGCCUAGGCUAGUCAUAGUGGAAAGUAACUUAGACUACUCUAGUAGCUCCAUGGUUACCCUAAGAGCAAGUACUACCUCGUCCUGGUUUACUCUUCCUAUUUUGUAGUAUCAAAAUUUAACCAUAGAUUUAACUGACAAAAUGUUAAUGCAUGUCACUAAGAACUAUAUCGUUGAAUUCAUAUUUGAACAUAAUUACAAACGGUGUAAUUUUUAGUGACAUGCACUGUCAUUUUCUUACGUAAAUCUAUGGUCAAAUGUUAUACUAAAUAAGAUGUAGUACAAAAGUGGGCUAUAACGGCCCUCCACUAUGUAGGCCAAAACACGUGCCAAAUUCACUUGUGAUGCAUUUGGCAUCGAUGCCCCUCCAUUGCUCACUUGGUGCCCCAAUCUGGAUCGCCUACUUUGCUCGGGUGCCAAAUUAACACACACAAUGAAAACACACUUGUGUGGCAGAGAGAGAGAGAGGACUGAGGCAAUAAAAAAACACUUGUUUGGGAGAGUGAGAGGCUGGUGUAGUUGGUUUGAUUGAUUUGUUUAUACAUGUGGGUCUGUGUGCACAGUGGUGCCAACUCUCUCACAUCGCGAGGGCGGUGCCAAAAUCUUUUGAUUUGACAUCGAUGCGUAUUAUGAGGCAUACUUUUGCGAAAUAUGGCAUCGGCCACAUAGUGGAAGGCAACAAAUGCCCAAGAUCUUCACGUACUACUAGGUAAAUGAGAGGAAAGAGAAAGAGAGAGAGAGAGUGAAAAAAUAUCACUAGCCAGCCAACCCUAUCGUAUGAGAGAAUGAUAUUGGUACCUCUUGAUGACACAGAAAUCUUAUACAGUCAGCUGCUCUAAUAUGUUCUCUUCUUUUGCAGAUAAAAAAAGACCCGAGAGUGAAAAAUGUGCUGCACUAUAACAAUCUCAUCGAAUGCCUUGAUCUCCAUCUUACAAAAAUUGAUUUGAUCGACUACCGAGGCAGCACAUCAGAGAUUAAAUUGGCCAGGUUCUUUGUUCUGGAGGCAAGUGUGCUCAAGGUAAUGAGGUUUGGCGUUCUCUCGCGCAACAAUGAAUGGUGUGCUGAUCACCGCAAGCGUCUAAGCCUAGAUGACAAAGUCUUCGCAGAAGCUGAAUUUGUUUUUGAAACAUCAAGUGGCCAGAGACUCGAAAACUUAUUUGCCCAUUAGUGACUUGUCAGGGCGAUGGAUUUUAGUUUGUACGAUAAAGUUGCAUCCACCUAAAGUAAUGAAAGUUCUUAUGUAAACUUCCUAGUAAUCCCCUCUUCGUAGGUGCAGCAUUACUCCUAACAUUUGUAAUAUCAGUUUGAAACCUGUAAUAUUGCCUUGUCCUAUUCCUGCAUUUUCAAAAUCCUGUGAAUCAAACAGGUCUUGAGUUGGUGAUGGUGUUGUGACUGCCAUCUUUCACCAAUAGCCGUCGGAUCUAGAUCUGACGCAUACAAACCAAACUUCUCCGGUUUUGCAAAAAGAUGCCCGCACUUGUUCCCUAUUUACAAACAACUCCUUGUCUCUCCCAAUCAGCCUUAUCUCCUCCCCACCACAUCUAGAAGGCCAUGGAAAAAUCAAGCGUGAUGGCCGCUGCCGGCGCCAUCCACCCCCCAAUCUUGGUGUCCUGUGCAAUGCACGGGCAUCUACGCACGGGAAAUUAUGUCAAACACGGCUAGUUGUAAGGAGGCUAGGUUUACAUCCAUGAUGAUAGUGAUUGCAGACGGUGAGGCUGACUAUGGUAUGCCGAACACGACGCCUAUACUCAGGUGUUAUCUCCGGCGUAGGGUCUUGUCACUUGACUGUGAGGAGCAGCACGUAGUAAUUUGACCAACAGGUAGUACAGUGCUACUACAUUGGUAGUACUACUACUAGUACUAGCACCACCGUCUGGAUUUAGUAGUACUACCACGUCCAUCUAGAUUUAGUAUUUGACUAGCAAUAUCUAGUAAUGCAUGUCACAAAAAUCUACUACUUCCGUUGUAAAUAAAUACAUGGCGCAUUGUUUUAUUCCUAUCGGCGAGAUAACUUAAUGAUUUUUUGCUAGUUAAUAGGAUUACAUGCAAUGAACUAACCACCGCAUGUGAUGUUUCGUAGUCUCAUGUCAUUGAAAGCAUGCAUGGCCCACAUCUCUCAUUGGUUGAUAUGUCACAAAAUAAGAAACGGGGAGGGAGUUAAUGUACCGUACCUUAGUGUUUUGGGA